rnacentral:tRNA from 1 species
GGAGAGAUGGCUCAGUGGUUAAGAGCACUGGCUUCCUUCCAGUGGUCCUGGGUUCAAUUCCCAGCACCC